UAACACUAGCUCCAUCCUUAGAGCAUGAGACUCUUAAUCUCAGGGUUGUGGGUUUGAGCCCCACGUUGGGGCAAAA